rnacentral:tRNA from 1 species
GGUCCCAUAGCUCAGUUGGUUAGAGCAUCUGACUCAUAAUCAGAGGGUCCUAGGUUCGAGCCCUAGUGGGACCACCU